CCACUUCCGGCAGCGCCAGAAAAGUCCCGGCGUGGGGAGCGCAGGGCCGCCCCCUUCACCUCCGCCAGGUUCAGAAUGGUCCGUAGUGGGAAAAACGGCAGCCUGCACCUGAAACAGAUCGCGUAUUACAAGCGCACCGGGGAGUACCACCCAACAACUCUGCCCAGCGAAAGAAGUGGAAUUCGACGAGCUGCGAAAAAAUUUGAUUUUAAAGAAAAGAGGCUGUUUUACAUCGGAAAGGACAGGAAGCAAAAUCGUUUGGUGAUCGUUUCCGAGGAGGAAAAGAGGAAAGUCCUAAGAGAGUGCCACGAAAACGACACCGGGGCCCAUCACGGCAUCUCCAGAACGCUCACGUUAGUGGAAUCGAGUUACUAUUGGACGUCCGUGACAAACGAUGUCAAACAGUGGGUUUCCGCCUGCCAGCACUGCCAGGAGUCGAAGCCCACGGCCCUCCUCAAGGUGGAAGAUCCCUGGGCGAUCGUGACCGUCCAUCUAAUGGGCCCAUUUCUCCCCAGCAGCAGGAGCCAGAAUCAGUACAUCGUGAUGAUGACGGACUUAUUCACAAAAUGGGUGGUCAUCUCGCCUCUCCGGGACAUUUCGGCGCCUGAAAUUUCGAAAGCGAUCGCCGAUGCGUUCUUCUCCUAUGGACCCCCUCAGAAAAUAGUAAUGGAUCAAGGAGAAGAAUUUAUUGAUCAGAUCAACACCGAGCUGUGUGGGCUGUUUGGGACAAAGCAGAUAGUGACUGCCCACCCCUCUCCCUCAGACGACGGGAAUGAAAGGAUGCUUGGGGUAAUGAAAACCUUCCUUCCCCGGUACUGCACUGAGCACUCCAGCGACUGGGACGCCCAUUUGUCAGCCGUGGCAUUUGCCUUCAACUCGACUCAUCUGGAGUCUACCGGAAACACACCGUAUUUCCAAAUGUUCAACCGAAAUCCUCAUGUCCCCGAGACUUCAGAGGUACUACGUGAAGUAGAAGGUGCUCACGUGUGUACGUUUGCCAAAAUCCUGGACGCCGUUAAAGAAGCGGACAGAGCAGCAGAGACCAAGAUACCUAGUCGCCAGAUGGAGAGCGGAAUUCCCGACGAAGAGCAAAGUAGGGGCAAGAUCGCCCCGAGAAGGAAACCGAAGCAGUUAAAUCCCUUCCAUCUGAAAGUGGGCCACGAAGUUGUCCGGCAGAGGAAAAACCGGUGGAGGGACGGCCGAUUCCAUUCGGAGUGGGUGGGGCCUUGCGUCAUAGACUACGUUACUGAUGGUGGAUGUGCCGUUCUCCGGGACAACACUGGCUCCAGGCUUAAAAGGCCUAUCAAAAUGUCUCACCUGAAGCCUUAUAUAAGAACCCCCGGAGACCAAGUUAGCCAUCACCUCCUCCAAGGCCCCGCUGCGGUCGAUCACGACUACAUCGGAACGUCUGAAAUCACAGUUGGAUCCCGCCACCCUGGCAUCCAGCCGAAAGAUACAUCCCCGCGGGCGUCCGGCGACGCAUCCCCAACACCAAGCGAAGAUCACGGACUAUUAGAGAGCAAAAAUCCCAACAGCUCUCCACUCUCGGAAGAUCGUGGAACGCACCCCGCUAACCGAACUCCAGGAAAGUCAACUUUCCAUCUUUUGGACGCUUCAAGUCAAGUCACUGAGUAGUGAAAGGUGUCACCCGGUCCAUCUGGCCCCCUUAUAGCUCGCUAGCUGUGUGUCUAAGAGGCCAAGAAAACCGGAGACGUUUGAGGAGCACGAGAGGAAAAGAGAGAGCAGCGGGAGAGAGAGGGAUGCCCCUGCCGGGACCUUUACUUUCAGCAUUACCCUUACAUCCUUUCGACCACGUUGGAGCAGCUGGCAGAAGGAGGGGAAGGACAACAGAGAAAGGGGACCAGUGGGCAAAGAAAAGGACCUGGGCUCUGCUACUUCUGUUGUGUCACCUUGGGAAAAAUCACUUCAC